rnacentral:rRNA from 1 species
UACGUAGGGCGCAAGCGUUGUCCGGAAUUAUUGGGCGUAAAGAGCUCGUAGGCGGUUUGUCGCGUCUGCUGUGAAAACCUAAGGCUCAACCUUGGGCUUGCAGUGGGUACGGGCAGACUAGAGUGCGGUAGGGGUGACUGGAAUUCAUGGUGUAGCGGUGGAAUGCGCAGAUAUCAGGAGGAACACCGAUGGCGAAGGCAGGUCACUGGGCCGCAACUGACGCUGAGGAGCGAAAGCACGGGGAGCGAACAGG